rnacentral:misc_RNA from 1 species
GAUGGACCAGAAGUCAUAAAACUUCUAAAAGAAUUUGAAUCCGCAUCUUGGUGCAAAGGAAAACAAUUCUGGCCAGAACUUAUUGGUGUUCCAGCAAAGCUUGCUAAGGAAAUAAUUGAGAAGGAAAAUCCAUCCAUAUCUGAUAUUCCAAUAUUAUUGAAUGGUUCUCCAGUCACAAUGGAUUUUCGAUGUGAUCGAGUUCGUCUUUUUGAUAACAUUUUGGGUUAUGUUGUACAAAUU